AGAUUGAACGCUGGCGGCAGGCCUAACACAUGCAAGUCGAGCGGUAGAGAGGUGCUUGCAUCUCUUGAGAGCGGCGGACGGGUGAGUAAUGCCUAGGAAUCUGCCUAGUGGUGGGGGAUAACGUUCGGAAACGGACGCUAAUACCGCAUACGUCCUACGGGAGAAAGCGGGGGACCUUCGGGCCUCGCGCCAUUAGAUGAGCCUAGGUCGGAUUAGCUAGUUGGUGAGGUAAUGGCUCACCAAGGCGACGAUCCGUAACUGGUCUGAGAGGAUGAUCAGUCACACUGGAACUGAGACACGGUCCAGACUCCUACGGGAGCAGCAGGUGGGAAU
rnacentral:rRNA from 1 species